GCCAAAAAAGAAGUUGAAGACCGGCUGGCCGGGGGCUUCAGGCGGUGAAUAGUUCCCCGCCUAGCAGUCGCGGGUGGGUGGAGACUGAGGCCGCGGAUCCUGUCUGACUGAUGAGACCCUGCCCGGCUCGUGAGCGGCUGAAGAAAACCUCCCGCUUGCGCAGGGGUCCUCUGAGGAGCUCGACCCUCAACCGCCCGUGGGCUCUGCGGUGCUUCGACCGCGGGGGGAAGCGAGAGCCUGGCCGGGCGUUGAUGCUUCCACCCCGGAGCCCGCCCCGCCCCCGAGUAGGAGAGUUGGGGGACCUUGUCCUUGAAGACAUGAGUGGAGAACAUAGAGGCAGAGGAUUUGGACGGGGACGAUUUCAAAGCUGGAGAAGAGGAAGAGGUGGUGGGAACUUCUCAGGAAGAUGGAGAGAAAGAGAACAUAGAACUGAUUUGAGUAAAAACAUAGGAAAACAAACUUCUGAAAAAACCCCACGGUCAUCACUACUACAAUCAACAUUAGAUGAAUUCAUACCAUAUAAAGGCUGGAAACUUUAUUUCUCUGAAGUUUACAGCAGUAGCUCUCCUUUUAUUGAGAAGAUUCAAGCUUUUGAAAAUUUUUUCACAAGGCGUAUUGAUUUAUAUGAUAAGGAUGAAAUAGAAAGAAAGGGAAGUAUUUUGGUGGAUUUUAAAGAACUGACAGAAGACGAUGAAAUAGCUAAAUUGAUACCAAGUAUAGCAAGUGAAAUAAGGGAUACGCCCGAGAAAACCUUGGCUUGCAUGGGUCUGGCAAUACAUCAGGUUUUAACUAAGGACCUCGAAAGGCACGCAGCUGAAUUACAAGCCCAGGAAGGAUUGUCCAGAAGUGGGGAAACAAUAGUAAAUGUUCCACAGAUUCAUGCAAGGGUAUACAACUAUGAGCCCUUGACGCAUCUCAAGAGUGUCCGAGCAAAUUGCUAUGGAAAAUACAUUGCUCUAAGAGGGACAGUGGUUCGUGUCAGUAAUAUAAAGCCUCUUUGCACUAGAAUGGCUUUUGUUUGUGCUGCAUGUGGAGAAGUUCAGAGUUUCUCUCUUCCAGAUGGAAAAUAUAAUCUUCCCACAAAGUGUCCUGUGCCCGUAUGUCGAGGAAAGUCAUUUACUGCUCUCCGAAGUUCUCCUCUCACAGUUACAGUGGACUGGCAAUCAAUCAAAAUCCAGGAGCUGAUGUCUGAUGAUCAGCGAGAAGCAGGUCGGAUACCACGAACAAUAGAAUGUGAGCUUUUUCAUGAUCUAGUGGAUAGCUGUGUCCCUGGUGACACUGUGACUAUUACUGGAGUUGUCAAGGUCUCAAAUGCAGAAGAAGGUUCUCGAAAUAAGAAUGACAAAUGCAUGUUCCUUUUGUACAUUGAGGCAAAUUCUAUUAGCAAUAGCAAAGGACAGAAAACAAAGACUUCUGAGGAUAGCAGUAAGCAUGGGGCAUUGAUGGAGUUCUCACUUAAAGACCUUUAUGCCAUCCAAGAGAUUCAAGCAGAAGAAAACCUGUUUAAACUCAUUGUCAACUCCCUUUGCCCUGUCAUUUUUGGUCAUGAACUUGUCAAAGCAGGUUUGGCAUUAGCACUCUUUGGAGGAAGCCAGAAAUAUGCAGAUGACAAAAACAGAAUUCCUAUUCGAGGAGACCCACACAUCCUUGUUGUGGGAGAUCCUGGCCUGGGAAAGAGUCAGAUGCUACAGGCAGUGUGCAGUGUAGCACCACGUGGCGUAUAUGUUUGUGGUAAUACCACCACCACCUCUGGUUUGACUGUAACUCUUUCAAAAGAUAGUUCUUAUGGAGAUUUUGCUUUGGAAGCUGGUGCUCUGGUACUUGGUGAUCAAGGUAUUUGUGGAAUAGAUGAAUUUGAUAAGAUGGGGAAUCAACAUCAAGCCUUGUUAGAAGCUAUGGAGCAGCAAAGUAUUAGUCUUGCUAAGGCUGGUGUGGUGUGUAGCCUUCCUGCAAGAACUUCCAUUAUUGCAGCUGCAAAUCCAAUUGGAGGACAUUACAAUAAAGCCAAAACAGUUUCUGAGAAUUUAAAAAUGGGGAGUGCUCUGUUAUCCAGAUUUGAUUUGGUCUUUAUCCUGUUAGACACCCCAAAUGAGGAUCAUGAUCACUUGCUCUCUGAACAUGUGAUUGCAAUAAGAGCUGGGAAGCAGAGAACUGUUAGCAGUGCCACCGUAACUCGUAUGAACAGUCAAGAUUCAAAUAGGUCUGUACUUGAAGUGGUUUCUGAUAAACCAUUGUCAGAAAGACUAAAGGUGGGUCCUCGAGAAACAGUAGACCCAAUUCCCCACCAGCUAUUGAGAAAGUACAUUGGUUAUGCUCGGCAGUAUGUCUAUCCAAAGCUCUCCACAGAAGCUGCUCAGAUUCUUCAAGAUUUUUACCUUGAGCUGCGGAAACAGAGCCAGAGGUUAAAUAGUGCACCUAUCACCACUAGGCAGCUGGAAUCCCUGAUUCGGCUAACAGAGGCACGAGCAAGGUUGGACUUGAGAGAGGAAGCAACCAAAGAAGAUGCUGAGGAUAUAGUUGAAAUUAUGAAAUACAGCAUGCUAGGAACUUAUUCUGAUGAGUUUGGAAACCUAAAUUUUGAGCGAUCCCAACAUGGUUCUGGAAUGAGCAACAGGUCAACAGCAAAAAGAUUUAUUUCUGCUCUCAACAACAUCGCCGAAAGAACUUACAAUAAUUUAUUUCAACUUCAUCAACUUCGGCAGAUUGCCAAAGAGCUAAACAUUCAGGUUGCUGAUUUUGAAAAUUUUAUUGGAUCACUAAAUGACCAAGGUUACCUCUUGAAAAAAGGCCCAAAGGUUUACCAGCUUCAAACUAUGUAAAAAGACUACCAACCCAGGACCUCCUGGCUUUAUUAACAGUUUAAAGUCAUCUCGGUAAUAAAGAUUUUGCAAAGUUUAAAAAAGUCUGAAAAAUAACAUCCCAAAAGUGAUAUAAGAACGUUGAACUAAUUUAAAAAGGGUGAGAGAGAACUAACAAAGCAGAGGGAGAAAAAGGCUCUGACUCAUGGUGCCAGGUGGAGCUAUAGCUACAGGAGCCAGUAGGGAGUCUCAGAGCCGCCUGCUGCUGCUGCUGCUGCUGCUGAGGCCAUCCCCAACUUUGGGGGCCUGAAGGCCUGCUGCCUGUGUCAUAGGAGGGCAUCUGCCUUCCACAGCAGCUCCCAUGACCAGAACAAACCCACUUUCCUUUUUUUCCUUUUAAAUGCCCCCCAAAUGGCUGCUCAAUGCCACCCCUUUCCCAAUAGCCCUCUUAAGGGGCUUGGACAUCACAGGUGGAAUGGAGACCAUGGGACUGCACAGGACUCUUCCCUUCUGGCUUAGAAGGCUGAGUUUGGCUCCUCAUCUGCACCUGACAACUCCAACAAUUAGCCCACCGUUGUCACCAUUUCUCUGGUGAUGAAAGUCAUACGUUCUGAUGCUGGCCCGUGACCUCAUGAUGUUUCCUCCAGCCUCAAAAUGAUGUCAAGGUCUCUAGAAUUUGCAAAGGAAAAAGUUUGCAUUAGUGUUGAAUUUAUUUGCACAUGGCAGGAAGAAUCAGAGUUUGGUGCAAAGCUGUGAUCUUGGAAUUCAAAU